UACGUAGGGUGCGAGCGUUAAUCGGAAUUACUGGGCGUAAAGCGUGCGCAGGCGGCUUCGCAAGUCAGGCGUGAAAUCCCCGGGCUUAACCUGGGAAUGGCGUCUGAAACUACGGAGCUGGAGUGUGGCAGAGGGAGGUAGAAUUCCACGUGUAGCGGUGAAAUGCGUAGAUAUGUGGAGGAACACCGGUGGCGAAGGCGGCAUCCUGGACCGACACUGACGCUGAGGAGCGAAAGCCAGGGGAGCAAACGGG
rnacentral:rRNA from 1 species